rnacentral:rRNA from 1 species
AUUGAACGCUGGCGGCAGGCCUAACACAUGCAAGUCGAGCGGAUGAAGGGAGCUUGCUCCUGGAUUCAGCGGCGGACGGGUGAGUAAUGCCUAGGAAUCUGCCUGGUAGUGGGGGAUAACGUCCGGAAACGGGCGCUAAUACCGCAUACGUCCUGAGGGAGAAAGUGGGGGAUCUUCGGACCUCACGCUAUCAGAUGAGCCUAGGUCGGAUUAGCUAGGUGGUGGGGUAAGGGCCUACCAAGGCGACGAUCCGUAACUGGUCUGAGAGGAUGAUCAGUCACACUGGAACUGAGCAACGGUCCAGACUACUACGGGAGGCAGCAGUGGGGAAUAGUGGACAAUGGGAGGAGGGCUGAUCCAGCCAUGCCGCGUGUGUGGAGAAGGUCUUCGGAUUGUAAAGCACUUUAAGUUGGGAGGAAGGGCAGUAAGUUAAUACCUUGCUGUUUUGACGUUACCAACAGAAUAAGCACCGGCUAACUUCGUG